rnacentral:rRNA from 1 species
GCUUGUCUCAAAGAUUAAGCCAUGCAUGUCUAAGUACAAGCCUCAGUAAGGUGAAACCGCGAAUGGCUCAUUAAAUCACACCUAAUCUACUGGAAAGUUACUAGUUACUUGGAUAACUGUGGUAAUUCUAGAGCUAAUACAUGCGUAAAAUCCCGACUCUCGCGGGGAGGGAUGUAUUUAUUAGAUAAAAAACCAAUGCGGGGCAACCCGGUUUUGUGGUGAAUCAUAGUAACUUUUCGGAUCGCAUAGCUUCACGCUGGCGAUAGUUCAUUCAAAUUUCUGCCCUAUCAGCUUUCGACGGUAGUGUAGUGGACUACCGUGGCGUUAACGGGUGACGGAGAAUUAGGGUUCGAUUCCGGAGAGGGAGCCUGAGAAACGGCUACCACAUCCAAGGAAGGCAGCAGG